UACAGAGGUCUCAAGCGUUUGUUCGGAUUCAUUGGGCGUAAAGGGCGCGUAGGCUGCGGGGCAAGUCGGGUGUGAAAUCUCAGAGCUCAACUCUGAAACUGCACUCGAUACUGCUUUGCUUGAGGACUGGAGAGGAGAUUGGAAUUCACGGUGUAGCAGUGAAAUGCGUAGAUAUCGUGAGGAAGACCAGUGGCGAAGGCGGAUCUCUGGACAGUUCCUGACGCUGAGGCGCGGAAAGGCCAGGG
rnacentral:rRNA from 1 species